rnacentral:lncRNA from 1 species
AAAGUCCCAUAGAUGAACAUUUGGUAAUCCAUUAGGAGGUUUUAAACAAGGAAGGUUCGAUCAACCCUCACCAAACCAACAUCAUGACAAAAGAUAGAUUUCAUUGGCCCUUCACUUCAAGACUUCAAAAGUCCAUCAAAAAUAAUCCAAAUAAAAUAAAUAAAAUAGCCAUUAAAUUCUAGAGGAAAAAAUAAUGGGGGUUGAUGUUCAACAUUUUUUCAA